CAGGGUUUGAUCCUGGCUCAGAUUGAACGCUGGCGGCAGGCCUAACACAUGCAAGUCGAGCGGAUGAAGGGAGCUUGCUCCUGGAUUCAGCGGCGGACGGGUGAGUAAUGCCUAGGAAUCUGCCUGGUAGUGGGGGAUAACGUCCGGAAACGGGCGCUAAUACCGCAUACGUCCUGAGGGAGAAAGUGGGGGAUCUUCGGACCUCACGCUAUCAGAUGAGCCUAGGUCGGAUUAGCUAGUUGGUGGGGUAAAGGCCUACCAAGGCGACGAUCCGUAACUGGUCUGAGAGGAUGAUCAGUCACACUGGAACUGAGACACGGUCCAGACUCCUACGGGAGGCAGCAGUGGGGAAUAUUGGACAAUGGGCGAAAGCCUGAUCCAGCCAUGCCGCGUGUGUGAAGAAGGUCUUCGGAUUGUAAAGCACUUUAAGUUGGGAGGAAGGGCAGUAAGUUAAUACCUUGCUGUUUUGACGUUACCAACAGAAUAAGCACCGGCUAACUUCGUGCCAGCAGCCGCGGUAAUACGAAGGGUGCAAGCGUUAAUCGGAAUUACUGGGCGUAAAGCGCGCGUAGGUGGUUCAGCAAGUUGGAUGUGAAAUCCCCGGGCUCAACCUGGGAACUGCAUCCAAAACUACUGAGCUAGAGUACGGUAGAGGGUGGUGGAAUUUCCUGUGUAGCGGUGAAAUGCGUAGAUAUAGGAAGGAACACCAGUGGCGAAGGCGACCACCUGGACUGAUACUGACACUGAGGUGCGAAAGCGUGGGGAGCAAACAGGAUUAGAUACCCUGGUAGUCCACGCCGUAAACGAUGUCGACUAGCCGUUGGGAUCCUUGAGAUCUUAGUGGCGCAGCUAACGCGAUAAGUCGACCGCCUGGGGAGUACGGCCGCAAGGUAAAACUCAAAGGAAUUGACGGC
rnacentral:rRNA from 1 species